AACUUUCACUUUUCUUUUCUCCAGAGGAGCCAGGAAGAGAGCUGUGACCAGCAGCGUCCCUUAUUCGCUUGGCCUUGGUUCCUGUUUGCACUGGCUACAGCAGGGCACUGGCCCCUACUGUCACCGCCACCUAAACAAAGACCCUAUCUCUGAGCGCUGCAGCCUACUGUUCAGCCCCAGGUUUGAGGAUGGAUGCCCUGGACGCUUCGAAGCUACUGGAUGAGGAGCUGUAUUCAAGACAGCUGUAUGUGCUGGGCUCACCUGCCAUGCAGAGGAUUCAGGGAGCCAGGGUCCUGGUGUCAGGCCUGCAGGGCCUGGGGGCCGAGGUGGCCAAGAACUUGGUUCUGAUGGGUGUGGGCAGCCUCACUCUGCAUGAUCCCCACCCCACCUGCUGGUCCGACCUGGCUGCCCAGUUUCUCCUCUCAGAGCAGGACUUGGAAAGGAGCAGAGCCGAGGCCUCUCAAGAGCUCUUGGCUCAGCUCAACAGAGCUGUCCAGGUCGUCGUGCACACGGGUGACAUCACUGAGGACCUGCUGUUGGACUUCCAGGUGGUGGUGCUGACUGCUGCAAAGCUGGAGGAGCAGCUGAAGGUGGGUACCUUGUGUCAUAAGCAUGGAGUUUGCUUUCUGGCGGCUGACACCCGGGGCCUCGUGGGGCAGUUGUUCUGUGACUUUGGUGAGGACUUCACUGUGCAGGACCCCACAGAGGCAGAACCCCUGACAGCUGCCAUCCAGCACAUCUCCCAGGGCUCCCCUGGCAUUCUCACUCUGAGGAAAGGGGCCAAUACCCACUACUUCCGUGAUGGAGACUUGGUGACUUUCUCGGGAAUUGAGGGAAUGGUUGAGCUCAAUGACUGUGAUCCCCGGUCUAUCCACGUGCGGGAGGAUGGGUCCCUGGAGAUUGGAGACACAACAACUUUCUCUCGGUACUUGCGUGGUGGGGCUAUCACUGAAGUCAAGAGACCCAAGACUGUGAGACAUAAGUCCCUGGACACAGCCCUGCUCCAGCCCCAUGUGGUGGCCCAGAGCUCCCAGGAAGUUCACCAUGCCCACUGCCUGCAUCAGGCCUUCUGUGCACUGCACAAGUUCCAGCACCUCCAUGGCCGGCCACCCCAGCCCUGGGAUCCUGUUGAUGCAGAGACCGUGGUGGGCCUGGCCCGGGACCUGGAACCACUGAAGCGGACAGAGGAAGAGCCACUGGAAGAGCCACUGGAUGAGGCCCUAGUGCGGACAGUCGCCCUAAGCAGUGCAGGUGUCUUGAGCCCUAUGGUGGCCAUGCUGGGUGCAGUAGCUGCCCAGGAAGUGCUGAAGGCAAUCUCCAGGAAGUUCAUGCCUCUGGACCAGUGGCUUUACUUUGAUGCCCUCGAUUGUCUUCCGGAAGAUGGGGAGCUCCUUCCCAGUCCUGAGGACUGUGCCCCGAGAGGCAGCCGCUAUGAUGGGCAAAUUGCAGUGUUUGGGGCUGGUUUUCAGGAGAAACUGAGACGCCAGCACUACCUCCUGGUGGGCGCUGGUGCCAUUGGUUGUGAGCUGCUCAAAAUCUUUGCCCUAGUGGGACUGGGGGCCGGGAACAGCGGGGGCUUGACUGUUGUUGACAUGGACCACAUAGAGCGCUCCAAUCUCAGCCGUCAGUUCCUCUUCAGGUCCCAGGACGUUGGUAGACCCAAGGCAGAGGUGGCUGCAGCAGCUGCCCGGGGCCUGAACCCAGACUUACAGGUGAUCCCGCUCACCUACCCACUGGAUCCCACCACAGAGCACAUCUAUGGGGAUAACUUUUUCUCCCGUGUGGAUGGUGUGGCUGCUGCCCUGGACAGUUUCCAGGCCCGGCGCUAUGUGGCUGCUCGUUGCACCCACUAUCUGAAGCCACUGCUGGAGGCAGGCACAUUGGGCACCUGGGGCAGUGCUACAGUAUUCAUGCCACAUGUGACUGAGGCCUACAGAGCCCCUGCCUCAGCUGCAGCUUCUGAGGAUGCCCCCUACCCUGUCUGUACCGUGCGGUACUUCCCUAGCACAGCCGAGCACACCCUGCAGUGGGCCCGGCAUGAGUUUGAAGAACUCUUCCGACUGUCUGCAGAGACCAUCAACCACCACCAACAGGCACACACUUCCCUGGCAGACAUGGAUGAGCCACAGACACUCACCUUACUGAAGCCAGUGCUUGGGGUCCUGAGAGUGCGUCCACAGAACUGGCAAGACUGUGUGGCGUGGGCUCUUGGCCACUGGAAACUCUGCUUUCAUUAUGGCAUCAAACAGCUGCUGAGGCACUUCCCACCUAAUAAAGUGCUUGAGGAUGGAACUCCCUUCUGGUCAGGUCCCAAACAGUGUCCCCAGCCCUUGGAGUUUGACACCAACCAAGACACACACCUCCUCUACGUACUGGCAGCUGCCAACCUGUAUGCCCAGAUGCAUGGGCUGCCUGGCUCACAGGACUGGACUGCACUCAGGAAGCUGCUGAAGCUGCUGCCACAGCCUGACCCCCAACAGAUGGCCCCCAUCUUUGCUAGUAAUCUAGAGCUGGCUUCAGCUUCUGCUGAGUUUGGCCCUGAGCAGCAGAAGGAACUGAACAAAGCCCUGGAAGUCUGGAGUGUGGGCCCUCCCCUGAAGCCUCUGAUGUUUGAGAAGGAUGAUGACAGCAACUUCCACGUGGACUUUGUGGUAGCGGCAGCUAGCCUGAGAUGUCAGAACUACGGGAUUCCACCGGUCAACCGUGCCCAGACCAAAUCUCUUGUCCUUGGCAGAGCAAGCGAAUUGUGGGCCAGAUUAUCCCAGCCAUUGCCACCACUACAGCAGCUGUGGCAGGCCUGUUGGGCCUGGAGCUGUAUAAGGUGGUGGGUGGGCCACGGCCUCGUAGUGCCUUUCGCCACAGCUACCUACAUCUGGCUGAAAACUACCUCAUCCGCUAUAUGCCUUUUGCCCCAGCCAUCCAGACGUUCCAUCACCUGAAGUGGACCUCUUGGGACCGUCUGAAGGUACCAGCUGGGCAGCCUGAGAGGACCCUGGAGUCGCUGCUGGCUCAUCUUCAGGAGCAGCACGGGUUGAGGGUGAGGAUCCUGCUGCACGGCUCAGCCCUGCUCUAUUCGGCUGGAUGGUCACCUGAAAAGCAGGCCCAGCACCUGCCCCUCAGGGUGACAGAACUGGUUCAGCAGCUGACAGGCCAGGUACCUGCUCCUGGGCAGCGGGUGUUGGUGCUAGAGCUGAGCUGUGAGGGUGACAAGGAGGACACUGCCUUCCCACCUCUGCACUAUGAGCUGUGACAAGGCAGCCACCCUGUCACCUAGCUCAAUGGAGCCCCGGAUCCCAAGCCCUGCACCGUAAGCCCACAGUAGGCACUCAAUAAAUGAUUGUUAAAGGAA